CAAGGUAAUCUGGUCAGACAACGGCCCGGCUUUCGUUGCCAAGGCAAAAAGACCUACAGGUAAUACAAAAAGAAGUUUGGUCACAGCUGACAGCAGUCUAUGUCCAGGGACCCCCGAGACAUCUCACCAGUUCCAGGUUGGAGACUUGGCUACAUACGAUAACACCGAGCCCAGACACUUGAGCCUCGCUGAAAAGGACCGUAUCUGGCGCUGCUGAUCACCCUGACAGCUGUCAAGUCUCAGCCCUCACCAGCCGCGUACACUCAGAUCUUCAGAAAGCUCCCUGGACCUGCACAUCAAAUAAGUGGAUACAUCAGAGACGUGACUGGUGGGGUUACUGUAAUGCUCACUUGAAGAGUGUGCUUU
rnacentral:sRNA from 1 species